CAAUAGCGUAUAUUAAAGUUGUUGCGGUAAAAAAGCUCGUAGUUGGAUUUCUGUUGAGAGCGACCGGUCCAUACCAUGUAUGCGUAUCUGGCUUGCUCUCGGCAUCCUCUCGAUAGACGUUACUGCGCUUGAUUGCGUGGUGCGGAUCUCGGGACUUUUACUUUGAGGAAAUUAGAGUGUUCACGGCAGGCUUUCGCCGGAAUACAUUAGCAUGGAAUAAUACUAUAGGAUCUUGGUUCUAUUUUGUUGGUUUCUAGAAUUGAGAUAAUGAUUAAUAGGGACAAUUGGGGGCAUUCGUAUCAACACGUCAGAGGUGGAAUUCUUGGAUUGUGUUGCGACGAACUACUGCGAAAGCAUUUGCCAAGGAUGUUUUCAUUGA
rnacentral:rRNA from 1 species